UACAUAGGGGGCAAGCGUUAUCCGGAUUUAUUGGGUGUAAAGGGUGCGUAGACGGAGAAACAAGUUGGUUGUGAAAUCCCUCGGCUCAACUGAGGAACUGCAACCAAAACUAUUUCCCUUGAGUGUCGGAGAGGAAAGUGGAAUUCCUAGUGUAGCGGUGAAAUGCGUAGAUAUUAGGAGGAACACCAGUGGCGAAGGCGGCCUGCUGGGCUUUUACUGACGCUGAGGCUCGAAAGUGUGGGGAGCAAACAGG
rnacentral:rRNA from 1 species